AUCAAACUAUAAUCAUCCACUUCCACUUUCACUCGCUCUCUUCUGUUCAUUCCUCUGAUCCAGAUCAGCUCCUUAUAUACGUUUUCGGAGCUUCCUUCUUCUUUUUUUUUUAAAAUCUUUUUAUUUCACAAGAAUAUCAUCCAAUUUUCACUGUAUGUAUAAAAUUGCCAUUCCACAUUGAGCCAUGAUGCUUUUCGUAUGCAGAUCUGGGUAGCAUUUUUUAGAGCUAAUACCUAGACACAGAUCUAAGAUUGGUAAUAAGUAAUAAGUAUUUUUCUUAUAAUUUCGUUUUGUACUAUUGAUUAAAGGGAGAUGUAAAAUUGCAUUAGCACAGCAAAC
rnacentral:lncRNA from 1 species